AACAUGAGCAAAGGGCCUGGUACAAAUAACUUGAGGUUUGAGGCUAACCAUUUGUGUAUAGUUUAUCAAAUCAAGAGUGACAAAUUCCUUGUGUGAUUGUCCUUACUGUUGGCUUCUGACUUUUAACCUCAAGCAAGCUCAAAAGUGAUACAGCCAACAUUACUUAAGUCCGAGAGGCAUCACAUCCUUCAGAAUGCUAACUGAAGAGGCCUCGGGAACCAAAGGCAACUACAGCAAAGGCGUACCAUCAGCCGAAUGAAACGCAGCACAAAAGUUGCUUUAAGCUAGACUCUCAAGACUCACAACAUUGAAGCUGCUAGACCUACUGGGCUUGCCCAUGUUCCAACGUGGGGGUGAGGGGGUUCAAAACAAUGGAUGUUUCAAAGAAUCAUUUUGUUCUGAAGUAGAGAGAGGGAAAUGUUAUGAAAAGCACUUCCAGCAUAAAGAUGGUUUCUGGGCGAUGGGCCAAUGCAGUCCCUCCCAGGUGCCUGCUCUCAUUCCUCACAUCCAGUAUUCUACUGCAGAGGCUAACACUUAGGCUACAGAACUUUGCUCAAACAAUAAGCAUACAUUUGUUUUUGCUUAAUCUUGCACACCUAUAAAACAUAUUUAUUAUUCAAAAUAAUACUGGGUAUUAUAAUACAGGAUAAAUGAGUACUCUUGGUACUAAUUCCUUACAUUCUCACAAUGACCCAUUUUAUGAAACAGAUGAGCUGUGGUUUGCAUUUCUCCACAGACUUGUGUUUUGAACACUGUGUCCAUUAUUUUGAACACUAUAGAGAUGUUAGAAGGUAGGACUAGGCCAGUAGACAGAGGUCACCAUGAAUAAAUCUUUGAAGUCAGUACCUGCCUGUGGUUCAUAAUUGCACAGUAGGUCCUGUCCAUCAUUAUGUGAACAAGCCUCUUGCACAUGUGGCCACUACAAUGGACAGACUUUCUCUGGCUAUCCUAGCUUUUAGGCCAUGAUGGACUGAAAUUUCUGAGCCCUGUGUCAAUAGGUAGUGGAGAGCCACCCACCUCAGGAAGAGGGUUUGAAGGUCCUAAUCAUACCAUAUCCACUUCUUUCCAUUAACCAGGCAGCUUCACUACAUGGCAUCUCUUCUCCCAUGGAUCCUACAUCUCUUAGGUUUCCUGUGAAAUAUUUGGUCACAGUGACAAGAAAGUGUCCAAUAUAAGAUACUAUUACAUUUAUUUUGUAAAUGGGUAAAGAAAGGCUCAGAGAAGCUAAACAACUCACCUUCAAUGGAUACCAUCCCAAAACUAAUUGAGCCAGGGCACAUUUAAAUUGCCUUUUCUAAAACAUAUUUGAAAACAUAGCACUACCUUGCAUACAACUGAUGCUCACUAAGAAGUAGGUAUACUGCUCAAUUUGGGCUCAGCCCUUAUUUUUCAUCAUCAAGGUAUAUUCAAUGUGUCAGAGGACCUGGAAAGUUCUCUUAACCAUCCAUAUGGGUCAUCCAUGUUUAUCAUGUUUAUUCUUAGUGUUUCAUGCUUUCGUGGUGUCAUGUGUUCUCCUGAGGUCAAUCAAUAUGUGAGUCACAGUCUGCUUUUAGUUAUGUGUAAGCUGGUGAUGGCUCAGUGGGUAAGGGCACUUGCUGUGUGGGAAUGUGAGUUUGGUUCCCAGAACCCACAUGGGAGAAAGAAGACACCAGCUACCCAAAGUUGCCUCUGACUUCCACAUGUGCCAUGAUGUGCAGACACAUGUACACACAACAAAUAAAUAUAAUAAAAAUUUGUAAUGGUUCUAUAAGUUUUUAUUGGAUAAAUCUUGUUUCAAAACUUAUAUAUGCAUAUGGUACAUUCUAUGCAUGUACUCCCUCCCACUUUUUAAUCCCUCCCACCCUUAGCAUAUUUUCUGCCUCCCUACCAUUCCCUUUCCCAUACCAGGACUUAUCAUUUUAUUUUAUGACUCAUUGAUUUUUAUCUGGGACUGUCUUUGUAGCUGUGGGUUUAGAACUAUUCACAAGACUGGGACCCUGGUGGAUUCACUAUUAGGUACACAGCUGCAGACAAUGAUUGGCCCCUCCCAAGGAUCCAUAAGUAUAUAGAAGUUUGUCAUGGAGAGUGGUAGGACCCCAUGAACCCCUCCCUUUGCCAUGGCUGGCUCUUCAAAUGCCACUUUUGUUCAGUCCUGUGGGGCAGUGGCAGCUGCUAUGAAAUCCCAUUUGUGAUGGCUGUGUCAACUUGAAGACGCCAUCUUGAUCCCUUCUACCUGGCUUCUGUUAGGUUAUUUCUAGAGUAUUCUAAGUAUUAAGUGACUUGUUCUGUGUGUCUGAAACUACAAUGGGAAAGAUAAGGAAGUAAGUUUGAAAUGUCCAUCAUGUAAUACUUUCUCUUGUUUUAAUAAGUUGUUUUUACUAGUUAUUUUCAACAAGAAAAACAACUGGUAUAUUCUAUGUCUCAGCCACUGAUACUAAGUUCUCUACUUACAAAAUAACUUAAGAUGCUUGUGGAUGUGUACAGAAAGGAGACACUUGUUUACAUUAAAAGGAUAUUCAUAUAUGUAUGUGUGUUUAAAAUUUUUACUUUGUUAUUAUAAUAACAUUUAUGUUUUGAGAAUUAGAUCUGGAUUUUUUUUUUUUUUACAGAAGUCAAGAUUGUAGACUUUUUAAGUAAUCCAUCAGAUUUCAGAUCAGCAUUGUGAGCCCUAGCAGGGGAUAUCCUGAGGAGGUGCUGAGAUGAAGUGUGCUUGAUCCAGUGAUGUUAGUUUGAGACAGAAUCAAACACUGUCACUCAUUCUCACUCUGACCUGUUAGUAGCUCUUAAAAUCCAAAGCUGCUAACAUUCAUGAACAGGGAAUGAAGUCUUGGAUUAACAAUGCAUUUUUACCUCAGCUGAUUCAUAAAGAGCACUCAGUAAUUACGUCACAUUUCUAGUUCUUAGUCAUUUGCAAUUGUUGUUGUUUUAUUUUGUUUUCCUUUUAAGUGAUUUGUCUUUGACUUAUUCAUUUCCUCUAGAAAGGAAGAGGUGGAAGUUUCUAAAUAUGUACUAGGCGGGAGGAGGAAAAGCAUACACCAUUGAGAAUAAUUUGAGUUAUACCAAGGGAAGAGAUAAUGGCUGUGAGGAGAAAUUCAAGCAACAUGCAUACAAGCUCUUAGAGACACGUCCUCCUUUCAAGCAAGGUUUGAUAUUCCUAUACCUACUCCAAGACAUGUCCUUAAUUUAAUUCUAGGUUGCCAAUAGCAUUUAUGCAAUCAAUAGCAUUCACUCAAGAGAUAUUAAUUACAAACCAUGCACCAUUCAGGAUUAAGACUAACUGUAAAAGACUUUUAUCCAAAAAGAGAAGAAAAUGGGGAGUUCUCAAUGAGAGAAAUGUUAAUUUCCUGUUCACCUAACACAUCACAGCCCUUGGGGGACUCUAUAAUUUGAGAUAGAAACCCUACCCCUGUCAUCCUGUGGAACUAACACCAAUACUUAACUUCUAUUGUCUACACUACAUUUCCCAUUCUAAGAAUGCUAAAGCAAUAAGGAGUGAAGAUUCUGGAGCCUCAAUGUCAUCCUUGGAAACUCACCUUUGGAACCCAUCACUGUUCAUUCUAACAUACACAAAGUCAGGAAGUUCUAGCUAAAGAAAGAUGUUGCCUUAGCUAUGCACAUGAAGACACUAAAACAAGAGACAUUAGACGUAGGGCUGGUAAUUCUCUGCCUUAUCUAUCCCAUGCUGCCUUUCAUGGGGUGUUCUAAAUCUUGACUUCAAGGAAUCUUACGUUAUCAAGAGCACAUGAGCAGAUAACAAAUAUGUUGCUGAGCAAGUGUUCUAACAUAGGUUUCAGUAUACUGCUUAUGUGAUGUUCCCUGAGAAAAUGUCUGUUUGCUACAGAUGAGGCACCAGGACAGAACAUGGAAAUGACCCAAGGAAGUCAACGAUAAUCAGAAAAUACUGGAGUAUGUGUGUCUACAAUCUCAUAAAUUGUGAUGAGAAACCUAGAAGAUAUAAAAGUUCUAUGGAGGAAAAAAAAAACAGAGCCCAGACUUCUAGAAGACUCCUGCAUGUGGGUGAGAAAGACAGAUGCCCUGACUACAUCACAUCUGGAAAAGCAAGAUUAUCACAGAGCUGGACUCUAAUAUACUACCAAAUAUACAAAAAUGAAAAAACUAAGGAGUUGAUUAAAUGGGAGAGAGAAAAUAGCAGCCACCUAGCAAAGCAUGGAGAUGAUUAAAUGAGAUGAAGAUUAUCAACCUCCCCAGCCCAUGGCAUGCACAGAAGGACCAGUGACUUCUUUAACUCAUCAAUGUGACAUUAGUAAAAUUAAUUUUCUAGACUAUGGGCUACUUCCCCCAAAGGAUUCCUUGAUUGCAGCAUCAUGCAAGGUUUUAGGUCUGGUUUAUUCAAACUCGUCACACUUGAAAAUAAUCAAGAUGUUUUUCGACUAGUCCUAAUGGGUUGCUAGUGAAGAAGAAAUUAGCUAGGAGAGUCCUAUUCUCAGAAGCUCACAAGACACAAAAGAAGGACCCAAUGAGCCUUGAGAAAAUGAAAGCCGGAAGCCCAUCUGAAGAUCUUCUAGAAAACACUUUUCCAUACUCUAUAUCUGCCUCAUCUACACAGACCAGACCAUGGGGUUUCAAAGAGGUCAUCAUCUUCCAUACCAUUGUGCUAUACAUUCCUUUAAGCAGCCCUCAGUUAGUCUAUCAUUUGUCUUUCGGGACAGUGGAUGCUUGUGUGUUCAGUAGCCCCACAAAGAAGCACAAGAAAAAAGCUUCAAUCUGCAGACUCCAACUUCUCCCCUCCUCUCUGCCUUUCCCUGAAUUCCUUGAGAACUAAAGAUUCCCUCUGGCCUCUGUCAUAUUCCUCAGUUAUUAUAGUUGUAUGGAACAGAAUGCCAUAAAUAAAUGAAGAAUAAAUGAAGAAAA